UUUUUUUUUUUUUUUUUCUGAGAUUUGGCAGUGACUCUGCUAGCUUGAGAAAUGUAUGUAUUAUUCGAAUAUUAAACUUUAAAUUCAUUAAAAGAUUCGGCUGAAGCCCUUCUCAGGGUUCAGACUAAGAAACAAGAUUUCUGUCUUGGAGUUGGGCUAAGGAUGUUAGUAUUGUCAAGCACAACAUCAGAUAUUCAGAUAGUAACUCUCAACAGCCUAAAUAAGUUUUCAUUAACAGCACCAAUAUCCAUUUAUCUGUCAGUACCUACAGCAGUUCAGUUUUAAAUACAUGGAAAAAUUCCGGUACCCGACACAUUUUACAAAAUAAAGUUACAUUCUGACCGAUUUUAUAACUACAGCACAAGAGACAUACAGCUAAGUGAGCUAACAGGUUUCUAAGAGUAUAAAGGACUGGAGGCUGUCAAAUAUUACACAAAGGAGCUACCUUUCGUUCAGGACUUCACCUUUCCAUGAAACUCCUUGUUGCAUCCUAAGCAAGGGUUCUGUGCACCAACCCCACUCCAAUUUGGUAGGCCUACAUUUCCUGAGGGCGAGAAUGAAGUAUUCACGGAUAAAUGUUGACAGGAACCAACACCACUGCCACCUGAAAUUCUCAAAUUUCCCGCAGGCAGAAAUGAAGAACUCAUGGAUAACUGUUGGCCGAAUCCCACCCCAUUGCAAUCUGACACACUCACAUUUCCGGCAGGUGGCAAAGUAGUAUUCAUGGGAAAUAGUUGGCCCGAGGUAGAUUGUUCUGGUGCAUUGAACUGAGGGGAUAUGUCACUUGGGAAAAAGUUAGGUGAGCCAAAAUCUGGCAGUGCCAUGCUAUCUCUCUGGUUGUGAGAGGUGACAAGGUUUUCCUCAAAGUAACCCUGAAACAAAUCAUCAUCUAUCGGAAUUUCACCGGUAAGGGUCUUAAAUGCAAAGUCAAGGCAUGGAUCAGACCAAGUAUCCAGAAAAGGGAAUGAAAACUGUGACACUGGAUUCUCGACAGCUGCCUUCUCAAUUUCCAACUGCCGGGGUUUCUCCUCAGGAACAGCUUGGUCCUUGAGAGAUCUCUCAAUCUUGUUCAAUGGUUCCUCAUCAAUUGAAGGACUUACAGUAGUACACGAAUCAUGAGCAACCUUGUUCUCUUGACCAGCCUCAAACUGUUGAGGUGCUUCAUGUGCAGAAUCUACAGCUUGGAGCGGUUUACUUCUACAAGACUUUGCUGUUGCAUUUCGAAGAACUGUUUCACUGGACAAUGGUUUGGCUAGCAGCUCAGGUUCAACCCCAGCCAGCCGUUUCGAAGUCCGACGAGGCAACUUUAGUUCUUUAGUUUUCUUAGAUUUGUUUGAACUUUGCCUUGUUUUCCUACUGCAGCUCCCAUUUUCAAGUGAGUUCUCUUUUUGCACAGUAUCAGCUGCAGCUUUCAGAAAAGGUUCUUUAUCCACACCAUCAGCUAUCGGCAAUUCCCCAGUAAGGGUUUUGAAGGCGAAUUCUAAGCAUGGGUCGGACCCGAACAGUAAGGAGAGCUCUGGUCCGGGCUUCUCACCUAACAUGUUCUCAGCUUCCAGUCUAUGAUGUUGCUCUUCAGGAAUUGCUUUGUCACCAAGAAACGUCUUUCCCUUGUUUGAUGACUCUCCAUGUGCAGUAGAGUUUAUGUCAGUUAACAUAUCAUGUAAAGCCUCUGGUUCUAAUGCAGCCCCAAGUUGCAGAGAUACUCCAUUGAUAUUAUCAUCUGAAGUGAAACCCAUUUCUUGGUUGGCAUCAGCUCUACUUGACUUUCCAGUUGCAAGGUGAAGAGUUUGAUCAUUGGAAACCAAAGUAUCUACAGGCAGUAGUUCAAGACUAUCAAAUGGCCUCUUGACCUCACUCAAUGACUCUCCUUGUACUGUAGAUACUAUUUCAGUUCUAAUAUGAUGUACAACUUCUGUUUCCGAUGCAUGUCCAAUCUGCUGAGAUGCUCUAUUUACAAAAUCAUCUGAAGCCAAACCUGCAUCUGGACUCUGACCACCUUUACUAGGCUUCCUAGUUGCAAAUUGAAGAGCCUUUACAGUGGAAACCAGGCUAUUUACCGACUCUGGUUCAAACCCAGCAAGUCGUUUUGAGGACCGACGAGGCAAAUCAAGGUUUUCCUUCUUUUUUGAAUUUCUUGCAUCUGUUUGGAUUCUCCUGGAGUUGCUCUUUUCCAUCCAACUCAUAUGUGAGUCCGUAUUUAAGGUGUUAGCAGUGGGAGUCAAAGCAGGGUCAUCUUCAGAAAAAUUCAAUUUGCCAGGAUCUGUUGAGGAACCACCAACCAAUGCAGUUUUUUCUUCACACUUGCUGGAGAUCUCUGCUUUUGGCUGCAAUAACUUGCUUGUAGAACAAUCCUCCUUGGUUUUGGCACAAUUUACAACCACACUCUCACUUAAAUGCUUAUGUGGGACAACCUCGGCUGUCGGAGCCAAAGCAACAUUUACCCUCUGGUCUUGGUACUUGGACUUUUUAGCCUCACGUUUGUUAGAGAGUGCAGCUAGUCGUUGUGAUGACCUUUUACCCACAUGUUUGCUAGAGGGUUCAGCUUUUGGGUGUGAUGACCAGCUUGGGGAACAUUCUCCCUUAGUUUCUACACAAUCUUCAACCAGAUUUUCAAUGAAAUGCUUCUCCAGGAACACCUCAGUAAUUGGAGCCAUAGCAGAUAUGCUUUCAGUGGCCAUCUCUUGCAAUUUGGAGCUUUUUGUUUCUUGCAAGUCUAGGCCACUCGAUUCAGAACUCGUUUUAGCUGCAGUGAUAAGUUCAAAACUAUAGUUAGAUAUCAGGGGUUUGUCAUUUUUUCUCUUAUUAGUUGGAGUCAAGCAUGAUGAGACUGUUUUUUCUGCAUUAUGUUAUUUGUUGACAUCUCACCUUCAGAAAGCUGCCGCCUGGUGACAGGGUGCUCCAAUUUUUGCUUUUUAGUUGCAGAUGACAGCUAAAAUAAGAGCAAAGAAGAAUUAAUAUUGCAAAACAUAACGGAAAACCAAGCAAGUGCCAUUUAAAGUUCAAUUCUCAAGUGCACAUUAUAAUGAAAAACCAAUAAAGGAACUUUCUCUGAAGCUGCCACAUUGAUCUGGUUACGGGAGAGUUAUGGGGUGAGGUCCUUGGUUCCAUUUGUUAAGGGUAUGUACUGAGGACACAGAACACCUUUACUUUUUUUUUUGGAUACAGAAGGAAACAAAAAGAAAGUGUGAAUUAAAAGGUAGUCAAACGGGUUUAAAUUUGGCUGUCACAAUUCUAUUGUGUAGGGCUGAAAAGUGAGCAACUUGACCCUGUAACGACAUCAAAGAGUGCUAGGAAAACAGAACAUGUUCCUAAAUUAAGAAAAACAGACAAUUAGGAUCAACAUAUAGAAAGCUCCAGAAUGUAAGAAUAUUGUCAUGACUCGAACCAGGGAUCUAAAAACUGGUAAAAAAUGCGUUGCCAAUGAAAAAAGAAGGAAAAAAGGAAGAAAAGUUAAUGAGAACUAGAAAGAGAAGAAAAAAGAGGAAGAAAAAGGGGGAAGAGAACUGGAAAAGUGGAAAACACCUUUUCAUGACUCGAACCAGGGAUCUAAAAACUGGUAAGGGUAUGCCUUAACCAACAUGCCAGUAGGGAAUUCCGGUAUCUGUGUUGCAAUCUAUAUUAUUUAUAAACUUAUGAGAGAAAUCUCCCUUGGGCUACAGCCCAACUAGCCUUAGACGUAGUUACGUCCCUGGAUACGACUAGAAAACCAGUAGAGAAAACAUUCUUACUGGUGAUGUCAUUAGAGAACACUAAAUUAGAGGUCAAAGAGAACACUAAUGAUACUGGAAAAAGAAAAAUUGCACUUACUGCAAUUUCAUCAUCAGUCAACUUUAGAUCAUUGGUGCACAUGCUCUUUGGUUUGAUUGUAUGUUUACUGGUCUCUCCAGUUUGUAGGUAGCGGAUAACAUCCUUUUUGGAACGGAAGAUAUAUCCAUGCACUGGAUCAGUGUAAUACUGUAUACGCAAUAGACCAAUUAAAUUAUAAAGUUAACUGUAGAAGUAAUCAACAUAACAGGAGCAGAAUUAACAUUAACUGGAAUAUGUAUCAGAGUAACUAUUUUAUACCGGAUCUCUUCUUAUUCGAUUUGCAACCUUUCUAACUUUGAUCUCCAAUAUCCACCCUGGCGGUAAAUCUUCCACAUUAUGCUUCUCAACCACAACCUAAAUAUACACAAACAAUCAGAAAAUAUGACACCUAAUUUAAGAAAGUUUAAAACAUGAAAAUUCUAAAGACAAUAAUAAAUUAUCUUGAAGCUUCAGCAUGGUAGAAACCUUUGCAAUUAAGUGGUGCCCUAACACCAACACCUACAUAUGUAUUAUAUGGAAGUGAGUUGUCGUCGAUUAAAGGCCAGUUUGACUUGUUCAGGUAUCACCACAGAAUAGUGAGGUAAAAUUCAAGACACUUAUAUUUAUCACCAGUAAUCCUAUAAAGCUACUAAGUCAUCAGAUACGGGUCUCAAUCCACUUGAUUUCAGCAAUCAUGGUAGAAAUCAGAUUAUGACUUUUCUAUACCAAUUCCCUUUGGUUUCUAUACAUUUGAGGACCCAACUCUAGUAGCUUGGGCAAAGAACUUGACCAUAUGACAAGUUAGAAUAGGAUAACCUCACAAUAAUUUAUUUUCCAUUUUCUACGUGUAAAAUUUAUCCACCAAAGGGUGAAAUAAAACUGCAGCAAAGAAAAGGACCGAUGAUCUAAUCAAGAUCUGCAUACGCUUUUUUAUCCUUGUAAUAUAAGAUAUGUCAAGUGUUACUGCUUACGCUUGUUCCUAACUAACACGCUUUCAAAGAAAAUUAGAAGCUAUUACUUUGUUCCAGAUGCAGGAUCCUAAUUAAUAAUUCUUGCAUGGUAAAAGUAUGUUCAUAAAGAUUUAUUUCUGAUCUUUUUUAUUUUUAUUUAUCAUUUUUUUUUACCAUCCAAACAAUUAAGUAAGCAUGCUAAUAACCAUAAUAUCAAAGGGAACAAACUUUGCUUGGGAAGUGCAUGGCAGUGACGGUCUUGGUUUUGAUAAUGCAUCUUUUGCGGUUUACCGUUUUGUGACUUCUGGAUUUGUAGCUCUUGCGCUUUACGGUUCUCAGGUGUCGAAAUACCUCUGGCUUAGAAUAAAAUGUACAUUCCCUUGACGGAUCAAUGUAACACUGCAAUAAGAUAAAAAGGAGAUUCUGAGUCCUGCUUAACUUCUUCAGUCAUCAUAUAACUCCACGAUCAACUUCAACAUUAAAAUACUGUUUAGCAGCAUCAGAUAGGCACACCCUUUCCCUUUUUAACAUUUGUAACUGUCAUAGAAAAUAUUACUUAACCCCCGGAAUGAAUAAAAGGAUUACAAUCACUUAAUGCAGGAAUGAUGAAACUAGAAACUAGAAUUUAGGGGUCAAAAUAAGGAAAAGAUUCCAAGAUGUAAUGAUCCUAGGAGUCCUGUGGUCAAAUUAAAAGAGGCAGCCAGUAAUGAUAACCUUAUAACAAUAAUUAAAAGAGGCAGCCACUGAUGAUAAUAAAAGAGGCAUUAAGUCCAAAUUCAGUAGACAACAAUGGCAAUAUACCCAAAGCAGUAACUUCAAAUACGCAUAUAUGUUACCUUGUACUCCUUUCCAACUUGCACACCAGAUUUUCGAGUUCUCAAUUCGACUUUCCAGCCAUCUGGCAACCAUUCAGGAUAUUCAACUGUGUUUGCUACCACCUGUCCAUAGCAAAUGAUGAUCAGCUACAUAGAUGAACUAACAACAUUUUUUUCAAGAAAGGGCACAAGAGACUCACCUGCAAAUGACUUUUACUGGAGGGGUUUUUGGUAUUUGUAGGCUUGGGCUCUUCACCACAGUUGGUGGUCUUUUUAGUAUACCGUAUAACAUCGUCCUUGGAGAAGAACUUCUUCCCGGUUUCCAACUCGAUGUAAAUCUGCAAAUAUGCAAAAGUAAUAUAUGAGUGCCUAGUUAGCACCACAACAGGAUAUUUGAUUACAAAGUUUCUAUAUUGGUUCAACAGUAUUAUCCUUGCCUCAAAUGACUACGGAAAGUGAUUACUUUUACCAUUUCCAGUGUGACCUGCUUUUAUUUACAAGCCUAUUAGGUUACGAAUACUGGAAAUGACAAGAUAGAGGGUAAAAUUAUCCACCAACAUAGUUCACUGAGUACCCUGAUGCAAUCCAAUUCAACUCAGCCUACAGAGCACUCUCAGUUUAUGUUGAGUCAUAUAGAUUUUAGCUUUAGAACAAUGCACAAAGAACCGCUACAGAUUCAAAAGCUUCCAAAACCCUGAAAACCAACAAACUCUCCCUUUACGAACUAGACUUUUGUCGCGGAGCAAAUCAGUAACAGUAUUAACACCAUUCUAAUGCACAUUCAUUGCUCCAAAACAACCAACUUUCCCUAAAAUCCUAAAUCUACCAACUCGAAGCUACCGAAAUUUAUCACCAACAUGCAAUCCCAUUUCUUCAUCUAAACACACAUUUCCACACAGACACAGUCAUCAUGACCAUCACUGAUUCAUCAUCACCAUCCAACAUGCAGCUACCAAAACAAAAUCUUCGCAUGAUGCCAAGUCAAAACUCAACUCGAUCAAAAAUCCACAAGCAUUUCAAAGACUGAAUCUCAGUAACACUCACUCAAUUAACCACAAUUGAACCAAUCAAGAGCAUAAAAAACCAAAAUUGAAGACUAAAUGCUGGUAAUUUGAAACCCUAGAAAGCUUGAAGCAGCAGCAAGACAAAAAGAAAAGGCUCACCACACUUCGGCGACCACGGUUCUGGGCUCUAAAUUGGACGCUCCAGCCGGCGGGGAGCCAGUCCGGCGAGCUCGCGGCCACCAUUUCAGCCGGAAUCGGGUACUUUUCGGCGAGUAAUCGCCAGAAUCUGAAGACUUAGAGUUUCAGAGUUAGGCCUGGGAUUAAAGCUCGGGUCUUUUUCUCUCAGCUAACUCAAACAAGUAAACGGAACCUGAAAUAUAUAUAAACAUAUAUACAGCUAUAUAUAUAUAUAUAUAUAAAGUUUGGAUAUAUAUAAAUUUUGCGGCCCACGUGUUCAUCUAUCGGAUUUGGGAUUAGUCUACAGAGCAGUCAAGAAUUUCGGUUUGAAGUGACCACAGGUGUGGUUGGAGUUUCAACCAUGGUGAGUUUGCCAUGUGGGUUGUAUGCCUACAUGUGGAAAACGAAUUAUAUCAUUCUGAUACAUUCAUACCAAAGCUCAUGUUUUUGAGGGUCUAGACUGCAAUGUUGUUAUUUGGAGGCGAAAUGCCGAAAGUUCUUCUCAAGAUUUAUAUCAGAUGAACUACUGCUCACGUAUCGUUAGAUUUUUUGAAGUGAUAUAAAGUUGAUUCCACGUGUGUUUACUUACUUAAAAUGAAUAUAAUGACGGAGUAGUUAGUUCCACUAAUUAUGAAUUCUCCAACAUCUAGCAACAUAUACCAAUACAAGAAUGCGUGUACGUCCCCAGGACGUCCACAACGUUAAGAAUGUAUCCGAUUAUAUUAAUUUUUUCACCUUUUCAAGUUAGUAAACGGGUCCAUAAUGUUAAGAAUGUAUCUGAUUACAUGAACUUUUUCACUUUUUCAAGUUAGUAAACGGAAUCCGGAUUUACCAAUCAGUAAUCUUUGCUGGUUUCCAUGACCAUCUAAUCAAGAAAGAGAGAGAAAAAGUUGAUUGGUUGGUCAGGACACUAGUUAGCAUGUCUGGAUCCUGCGAUCAUACUAGCUCAGCUCAGCACAAAACAAAUUCUUUUUAUAGAAAAUAAAUAAAAUUAUUAUUUUAUCGCGGUCUAAUUAUGAUAUUACCAGCCAAAAAAUUGACACAUUAUAAUUGGAUAGGGAGAUUUUGGUCAAUGGAAGAAAGUGAGACUAUAAAGAGAAAGAAGAAACAAGAUUGGAGCUUCUAUUCUUCUUCUCCAAAUUCUUACCAAGAAACCCCUAAAUCCUUACGUAUAUCCUCUCUGUCCUUCCAUUGAAGGCUUGUUUAGGGCAGGUCAGUGUUUUAAAAUCUCUGCCUCUAUAAAUGUUCUGUUAAUUUUAUGCCUCAAUUUUUUAGGGUUUUCGAUUUCAAUUUGUUGGUUGUGUGAUUUGUAACUAUAGCCGGGUUUGGGGAAUUAGCAUCGGCGUUGAAAUUGUCUUCAUUUUUCGGGUAUAAAUUUCUGGGAUUUUGGUUUUGAUUAUGGAUUGGUCAUGCUUAUUUGAUUCAAAAGAUGAUGUUUUGGUGUAAGAAUUUAGUGUUUAUAUGCAAAGGAUGGACCUUUUCAUCCAAGUUUUCGGUUUUCGGGUGAAUUAUGAUGUUCAAGAAAGUGGGUAUCAUGCAUAUUGUUAUUUGAGGUAAACAUAAUACAUCAUCGUUCAAAUUCAUGGAGAUAGAAUGUUAGAUGCGGCUCGGGUCGUGAUCUUGAGGGUUUCUAGAAGUAGAUUAUGGAUUUGGAGAUUUUCGGAUAAAUGCAUCUUUAAAGUUUUAUCUGUUAUGCAGUUUCCGAUUUGGAAUGUUUGCAUGAACUUGACUUUGCAGUGAUUUUACAAGUACACAUAUCCGUAUUUUUUUAUAUAGGAGUUGGUUGUGUAUGAUUUCUAACUAGACGUUGGUGAUUGCAGAUGGCAUUGCAAGAACAAUUAGAUAGAUUCAAGAAGCAGCAAGAGAAAUGCCAGUCAACCCUGACCAGCAUUGCCUCUAAAAAGGCUGCAGCAAACCCCAGAGCUGUUCCCAUAGCAGCUGCUAAAGCUCCCGCUCCAGCUGUCAAAUUCUCUAAUGAUACAGAGAGACUCCAACACAUUAAUAGCAUAAGGAAAGGGCCUGUUGGAGCUCAGAUCAAGCGUGUUAUAGACCUGCUUCUAGAGGUUCACAUUAAAUACCCUUUUUGCUUGACGCAAAUGAUCAGUGUGUUUUUUUUAUUUACAACUCUCCUGUGCAUUUUCUGUUGAUGACUUGUUGUGUCCUAUAGUAUGUCCCACAUGUGGUAAGUCUCAGCUGUUUCCUUCCUCCCCCACUACACAGUUAGGCUAAGCAAAAUAAAAGCUUGUUUUCGUUGUCUACAGCAGAAAAGGUUGGCAUCUGUUGGAGGUAUAUAUGCAAGGAAAGAUACAGACUUGUAGAUUAGCAUCUAGGAUAUAUAUGUUUCUACAUAUUUGUCUACUAAACAGAUGCAAGUUGCCUCCAUAUUGAUAUGAUGGUGCUUGAAUUCCUAGUUUGGAGAUCUAUUAUCCCAUCUCUUUAUUGGAAAAGAAUCGAGAUCCCUCUAUGGUAUAGUAAUCUAUAUAUCCGAGGGAUGUGGCUUACAGUAGGUGUUCUGUUGAUUUCAUAUGGUAUGAAUGCCAAUAAUAGAGUAUUUGUCUGGUUGGGGUGAUUACUUUUUCAUUCAAGGAGUUAGAAGGGAAGCAGUUUCCCUUUAGGAUAUUAUGUAAAGCAAGAUGUGUUCUGUUGGAGUACUAAAGACCUUUUGUACUUCCUCCCUUCUCCUGAUGUUUCGUAUCCUUCUUGCUUUGAGCUUUUUCCAGCAAGUAAUUGCUAAGUUUGCUAGGACCCAGUUGAGAAGGAUCACCAUCUGAUGACUAUGAGUCGUUAUGUUUACAUAUUUUUGUAGACAAGGCAGGCCUUUACGCCAGAGCUAAUUAAUGAAGCAUGUUAUGUUGAUGUGAAUGCCAACAAAGCUGUCUUUGACAGUCUGAGGAAUAAUCCAAAAGUUCACUAUGACGGGAAGCGCUUUUCUUAUAAGGUAACUUUGAGCUGUAUCUACCUGCAUGUCAAAGCUAGCAUGCUUUUAGUUUAUGAUUUUUUGAUAUAAGGAUUACAUCAACUUGUAUUUGAUAUGUGCAGUCCAAGCAUGCUCUGAAAGACAAAAAUCAACUCCGGUCCUUAAUACGGAAAUUUUCAGAGGGCAUACCUGUCAUUGAUCUGAAGGAUUCAUAUCCAACUGUGAUGGAGGACUUGCAGGUAUACGUUAUUUGUAUAAUUUUUCUUCAAACAAUCUACUGUGUCUGUGGUGGUGUGAAGAUAUUUGUUUGGAUUACUUUUCUUACAAAUAGGCUUGGAAUGUCAACUUUUUAUAGGCUUUGAAAGCUGCGGGUGACAUAUGGCUACUUUCGAACUUCGAUUCACAAGAGGACAUUGCUUAUCCAAAUGACCCCAGGUUGCCUUCUUGUAAGGUGGAUGAUGAACUUAAAACUUUCUUCAGGGAGAUUGAAUUGCCUCGUGAUAUGCUAGACAUUGAGAGGGAUCUCCAGAAGAAUGGUAUGAAGCCGGCCACAGACACUGCAAAGAGGAGGGCGGUGGCGCAGAGUCAAGGCAUUCAAGCCAAAUCCAAGCCCAAGAAGAAGAAGAAUGAGAUCAGCAAGAGGACCAAGCUGACCAAUGCCCAUCUUCCAGAGCUUUUCAAGGACCUGAAAAAUUAGCUGAAGCCAUUACUCAGAAUGGCAAUACACUGAUGGUCCUGUGUUGAGAUACAGUUUUCCAAUUUGUUGCCACAAGAAUUACGUUAAUAGGAACUGUAAAUUGUAUCAAAUAGCUAUGAAAUCCAAUUUGGAAGUCUUUAAAUUUUAACUCUAAACCAAUGGAUUGCGGAAUUGGAUCUAUAAUAUCCAUAAGACUAUUACAUAUCUUCGAAAACUGAUUUCAUCACAGGGACUAAACUCAGAGCCAACAUCACAUUUGAGGGGUAGUUCAGUAAUUCGAAACAGUUAAGCGCCAAUUUUAACAGAAAAAUUUAAAAGUUGGUUAUUUUUCCUUGUCCACCCAAUUUUGAUAUAAAUCUCUACACACAGAUCAACUCAGAGAUAGAGACUCAGAAACCCAACACAGCUUCACAUCACCAUGCAAGCUCACUGCUCCACACUCUCCCCUAUUUCCCUCGGAAACCCCAACCGCCGAUUCCCCAUCAUCUCCCGUCCUGCGCCUUUUAACGGUUCGAUACAUUUCAAAUCUUCAAUCUUUUUCACCUUUUGGGUUUAACAUUUUUUGUUGGAUGCUUUGUUUUGUUAUGUUUUGUUUCUGAUGUUUUCGGGUGUUUCGGGUUCAGUUUAUCGAUCGAAUGGAGGUGCGGAUUCGUGGGUGGGGAGGAAAAAGAAUAGGGGAGUGACGGUUUCGGCUUCUGAGGAGCAGAGCUCAAAUUCUGAUUUGCCCAAGAGAAGGUUCAUUAUUGUUUCUUCAACUCAAUAAACCCAUUUCUUAUAGUUCAUUUCUUUUAAUUUUCUUGUUUUUUGAGGGUUUAGGAACAUAGAUUUUUAACCAAGUUAUGUUCAGGACCUGUUGUGAUAUAUAGCAUAGUCUGACAAUUGAUGCUAUGUGUUUAGCACUGUGAUCCAUCAAGCAUUGUUCUUUGUGUUUAGUUGUGUAGCCCAAAAUGCAUAUGGUUGUAUAAUAAUGUUACUCUAAUUUGUGUUGUACAUAGAAAGAUUGUUGAACAUGUAUGUCUGCUUAAAUCGAAGAAGGAUUUAUCUGAUGAGGAAGAGAAGGUUAUGCUGGAUUAUCUUUAUACAACCCAGUAUCAAAUGAGAGGCAUUGUCGCGAUAUCAUUAGGUGAGGUUUACAUGUCUGAGUUGAUCUCUACAGCACUUUUGUAUUUCAAAUAAAGUAAGAUUCAAACACUUGUUUCUGUUGGUUUUUCUGUUUCUGAUUUGCCCCUUUGCAUUAAGCAUGGGAUUAUAUACAGAACCUAGUGUCCUAGUAACAAAAUUUCCAUAUGCUUAUGCUUGGCCAUUUACAUUUAUACCUUGAUAAACUAUCUUUGAUUUAUCUGCACAACAUUUCUGCAGGACGCAUCGGUAACCAAAAUCCCGAAAAGUAUAGUUAUGCUUUCUACCUGCGUUUCCAGAGAAAAGAAGACCUUGUAAAGUUUUACCAGCAUCCUUUCUACUUGGGAGUUCUCAAGGAUCAUGUAUCGCCUUACUGCCAUGUAUGCCCUGACAUGUAAACACCGACACUCUUGUCUUCCAUUUAUUUUACUUUUCUGCUAGAUCAAGUUUGUUUUGAAUAACUGAAUCAUUUUUCAACUUAAUGGACUGACAUUUACCAAAAGCAGGGAUUGCUAAAUGUAGAUUAUGAGUCUGAAGUAGAAGAUGAUAUCCUUCCUAUAUUCCGAAAAGGAGAGGUUGGAAGCAACAUCCUUUCUAAUUUGAAAUCUCUUUCUGGUUCUAAAUAUUUCCAUAUGAUUGCUGUUUGUGGUUUCUGGAAUCCCAAAGUAAUUUCUAAAGGAUACCUCAUUAUUGUUGCAAGCAGGAAUUCAACUUUGGGGUAGAGUUUGUGCUGCUGAUUUCCUUCAUCAAUAAUGCAUCUGAUCAUGCUGAAGAUGCAUUGGUUUCUUUGGAAGGGCUGCUGAUGGGAUUCCCAUCCUUGAUUGUCCAAUCUACUCAGGGUUUGUUUGAGCUAAAAAGCCAUCAUGCUAGACUGUUCAGUAGUAGAUUUCUCUUUUGGAAGCUAAAUAAAGAUUCAACCGGAUCUGUAAAACAAGGAAUUUAUGCUGAUUCAGUAUUGUUUUGCUUUGGCAAUCUGUUUAUGUAAUAACUAUUCUGAUGAUACAGUAGGAAGACCUGUUUGUGCUACAAAAUAACUGGUAUUUGAUUGUCAGGUAUGAAUUUUAACCCCAGCAGCAAGGAGUAUACACACGGAGUGGUUAUCAGAUUCCGGUCAUGUGAGCUCUCGAUUAUUUCUGUAAACUCAGAUAAAUGCUGCUUCAUUUUUUGACUGUCAUUCUUUGGUUUGGUAUAUUUUGUAGUUGACGCUUUCGAGAUAUUUAUCGGAAGCUCAGAAUACAAAGAUGUAAGUAGCCAUUUUGUUGUUCUGCUUAUUAUUUAUGUUAAUUCUAUUUGCUUUCGCUGUGGCCUUGCUUUUGAGAUCUUGCACUUCAAUCAACAUUUAAAUGUUAGAAUCUCAUCUAGAACUCAGAGAUUCCAUGGUAAUAUUAGUAUUUCUGAUGUUUGAGCUAUAUGUUAUUAGUUUUUUUUUUUUUUUUUUUCCAGUAUUUUUCUUAUACCAUCUUAUAGUUCUGAGUCCAGUGAUCUUCUAAUUCACAUCUAAUUUAUGGUUAAGAAACAUUCUUGAAUUAUACCACUAUGAGAUUCUUUUUUCUUCUGUUUCGGUAAAACUUUAAAACAACAUUCCUUUUCACCUUUUGGAUUCAAUCACAUCACAGUUAUGGAAGUCAAAGUUCGAGAACAUCACUCAGAAAACACUUUCUGUUCAUUUUCUAAUUCAACCAGUGGGUAGUGAGAUCAUGUAGCAAGGAUCCCAUGAGGUUUGUUUACUGUAUAUAUUAUUCUAAGCCGCUACCGUAUGUUGACAGAUCGCUUAAUCUUAUAUUAUACAUAAAUCCAAUGCAGGAUUUCAACAGGAAUUCUUGCUCACUUUCUUCUGCUAUUGACAAGCAUGUGCAGGUCAGUUAAUCUUCUUUUAUUCAGUGCAUUAGUUUAAAUAAUCUGUAUUUAUACUUGUUUACAAACUUUGUCUUCUCUGAAUGAAAAGAUGUCGAAUUCAUUUCUUCAAGGUCCUACUAUGAAAAUCAAGCAAUAUAAUCAGUCCAAUUCUUAGUGAUUAUAAGAGAAAUCUGACUACUAUUUGAAGAUGUGAGUUCUGUGUAGUAAUUCUGAUAUGUCUUCAGGGUAGGUCUGACUGAAAAACUUCUCCCUAAUUGAAUAAAAAACCUUAUUUUCUGCCUAUAUUUCAUUGGCAUAUUGAUCAUUUUCUACCUUCUCAUUUGUCUUCCUCCCAUGGAAGUUACAUCACAGAAACCUUCCAAAUGUAUUGUUUGACCUCACUGGCAGAUACUUGAAAACAAACAUAAAUGUUCAAACAGACUAUGAGUAUUUUAUAUUUGAGCUAUUUAACACUAUUUAAUAACCCAUAAGAGCCAAAAACUCAGCCCCCACCAUGAAGGCCAAAAUCAAUUAGAUGCGUAUGCAUUUUGACUUAUUAUAUAAACACUGCAGCCUGCAGCUUCUUUAGAAAAGUGACAUGCUUCUUGUUGGUGAUGUUACUCCAAUGGUCAUCUUUUUGCACCUUGAACCUUUCCAGCAAAAACUUUCUAGGUUCUGAAACUUUUUAUUGUUUUGAACUCUUUGAUAUCUUUUCUUUGAAAAGAAAGUGAGAACCUCCUUAUUCGACCAAAUGACACUGUUCAUUGUUUAGAUAUCUUUUCAAGAACUAUCCGUGCACUAAAUCAGCCCUUUUUGGAGAUUGUUCAGAUCAAUAUAUUACCUAUAUAAUCACAGCACCUAAGAUAGUAUACAAUAUCUAUAUGCAUAACAGCAGCCAAUACAAUUUUUUUUUGGAAAUCAACAUAAUUGAACUUCAUGUACCAGAGCAGCUUUUGUAUAAAUCUACCAUUUAAUAUACUGGUACAGACUUGUGCUGUCUUCAUAAACUAGUCAGUAGUCACUCACAUUUCCUGAAUGUAUCUAUUACUAUUACACAUCUUUGAGUAAAAACCAAAAAACAAAAGAGGAAAAUGAUUUACAAACUGCAAAAUUUGGUAUGACUAAAUACACAUAGCAGCCAGACAGCUACUGAUCAGUUGUGAAGUGGGUUUGGUCCUGCUGGAACUACUCGUAGAGAAGCAUUACUAACCACCGGGUCGAUCUCAGCUCUGUUGGAUCCCUCUGGAGAUUGUGCAGAUAAAUGCCAUGAAAACUUGGAAUUGGAUUCAGUGUUCUCUCUUUGCUUCUCUGCUUCACUUAUCUUUAUGUGGAGCUGACGAGAAGUUGAUUGCUGACUGAUCAUGAGCAUGAUCAUGAACAUCACAAGUGGAAGUGUGAGAUUUUGAAAUCCCAUGAGAUGAUGAAGCUCAGAAAUUCUUACAGAGAAAAAAGGGAGCAAAGCUGAGUUUGUUUUCAAUUCUGAUAUGAAGCAGGUUUUGGAGUCUUUUUAAUAUGGGGGAAUCAGGAAACAUGUGGCAAAGAUAGAGCCAAAACUCACAAUUAAUUCUAUCAAAUGACAUUAAUGCCCAAUUUUGGCCACAAAUUUUCAGAAAGCAUCACUCAACUACCCUAAUUGACUAACCUCAGGAUUCAGGAACACCCUAUUGCACUUAGAAUCCACUCUGCAGCAUUAUGCAUAUUGCUGGUCUUUUCGACCACCUUUAAGAACUAACACCAUCUGUGAUGCAGGUCAUUAUGCAGAAACAUGCUCUUUGGAUGCCUCAGAAGGCUUUGAGAAUGUAACUAUGUGAUCCAGGUCUUUUGUAUUUGUUCUGAAAUUACUUAUACAUUUGAGGCUUUUAAUACCAGAACUUUAAAGGCUAAUCUGGUCCUUUAAUUACAUGAAUUAUUAGCACCCAAUGGUUUAAGAGUUGACUUUGGGUUGGUUUGUUUCUUUCUAAUGCUCAUUUAGCUUGAUAAUUUUACAAUGUGUACUAUAAUUAUUGGUUAUUGAGACUUGGGGCAAGAUCCCACAUACAAGUGGCACCCAUAUUUGGCAUGCAUCCCGUCACAUGUUUCUUGUUCCAAGCCAGUGAUAUUAUUCUAGUUCGGUGUUGAGAGAUAGCCAUUAGAGGAUCGAUUAAGCAUCGUUCUGCAGGGUUAUCAAUAAUUUGAGGUUGUAGCAUGUAGACACAAUCAUAUAAGGACCCAAAUGUGGGCACGAUCCCUCAUCACUCUUUCAAUCUUUUCAAUCAUGACUUGUAGGGCCUAAACAAAUUUUCAGGUCUCAUAUACAUUAACGAGUGAUUGUUGUUUGCGCACAAAGAGAGCCAUUCUAGUAAAGACUACUAAAUGCUCGAGCCAUAUUUCACGAGCUAAUAGCAUGAGUUGGCUAAAUCCAUCAGUCUUUGUAAGAAAGAGAUUAUAUAUUAUGGUCAAACCAUCAGGAGGGGUUUUGAUGUUUUCAUUUCUGAGGUGUGUAGCCUGAGAUGAACAGAAUCCAUUCAAUUAUUAGAAACGUCAUCAGCCUGGACUGACUCAUAUAUAGGAUAUCAAUGCUCUUGUCAUUUUUGAAGAAAAUAUGAGAAGUGGUGAUUUUUUUUUUGUUCAGUUUUCUUAAUAUUACGUCAGUAAUGUAUUGGAUGAAUUGUCUCAAAGAGACUAAGCAAUCACCUAAGCGAACCCAAAUUUCAAUAUCUUGGAUGCUGAGAAUCCAAAUUUCAAACCUUGUGAUGUUAAAAGAAUAUGUUCAAACAGGGCAUCUUAAACAAACACUGGUGAUGGUGAAGUAGAGCUUUUUCUAUUAGAUUUUAGAAUAAUUGGAAAACUGAUAUGAAAGUCUUGUUCAUCAAUCAUUUGAUUGGAUGCAAGAUUAGGCUACAAAGACCAAGCAUAUAUAAUUUCAUUUGUCAUCCACAUCUGUGUGAAAAACUACACCACAUACAGAAUUAGAAUAGGAUAGUUUCAUAGACAGCAUGACAGGGUAGUUGAAACUUGAGAUAUUCUUAAUGACCUGAUUUGGGUCCUAAUAAUGGGCCUAAUUUCGAUUAUGUAUAAAAAAUUGUGGAUCAAUUACUUGAUUUGAUUAAUAUAGGGCAUUCUGGUGCUUCAUGCAACCCAUCUUCCCCCUUGGGUAUCAAAUUAGCGGUUCAUCAGGAAUCAAUUCCUCAUAGAAUAUAAGGAGGUGAGACCCACACCCAUUCCAAUUCCUGACAAGAGGUUUAGUAUACGAUCAUCCCAUUUGCUCCAACAAUUGAAAUAAACCAUCUAGUUAAUACUUUCAUUGCAGAAUUAAAUCUGAUCUAUCAAACUCUGAUUAAUAGAGACUAACUGAUACCAUAGUAAAAAUCAUAGUUUAUGACAAAAUUGACAGGAAAAGGAAUACGAACUAAAAAGAAUACCCUUAAUGGUGUUACUUCCUAAUAUGCCUAGGAGAUAAAUAAAUUAGUCUUCAAUAGGAUUGAGAACCUGCCCAACGAACAUCACCGUUUUAGUCACUUCUUCUCUGAUAAGAUAAAGGAAUGGGUGAUCUGCCACGAAAUCUAUCGGACGAGGAGGUUCUCUAGCACAGUACAUCCUUACAACAGCUGCCGUCACAGCAGCAGCUUCUGUGCCUUUUUCAUUAACUUCAAUGAAGGCUUUGUGGAAUAUUUGCGAAACAUAUAAGGGCUCAGGUGAGUCCACCAUUUCUGUCAAGCCUCCAGGAGAGAAUCCCAAAGUCUCCAGAAGUUUGGAAGCCUCAAAACCACAGGAAAUCUUAAACUUUGGGAUUAAGAAACGACGUACCGGAACUCUUUCGUUGGGAAGAUGGCUAUCUAUAAACUCGACGUUGGAGCAAAACUGCUCGAUCAAAGACGGCAGCCCGUUUCUUGUAUUUGGAAGAAAGAUGUACAUGGAGAAUUCUCUCUCAUAAUCUUGACCUUGUUUGUAGAGAAGCUUCAAGACUUUGAAGCUUUCAAAGGCACGUACGAACUGAUCCGACCACUUUGUCAUGAAGUGUGCCUUAACUGAGCCCACAUUAUGGAGAAGGUGAAAGUCAGACACUCUUGUAUCUGAUGCUUCAAACUCCCUAUCCCAUUCUCCUUUGAAGUAUAAAGCAUUUGCAAGGAUGAGCCUUGUUGCCGUAGAAACUGAGUCAGGGGGGAGAAUGCUUUCGAUUAGACCCUUGGUUUCCUUUUUUCCCCAGGAAUUCACUUCACGUCGCACUUCCUCUGGUUUGGUCUUGAAAUCAACUUGUUUCAAGGCCGCCUUGUAAUCAGUGCCCAAUACCUAAGAUCAAAGAUAGACGAUAUAUAAGAUAUCUAUCUGCAACAGAGUGUUAGUAAACAUGUCGAAUUGGGGUGUAAGAAACUACAUACAUUUUGGAAGGAAGGCUUGAUAGAGAGAGAUUGGUCCAUCCAAACCCCAUUGGCGAAUGACAAGAGAGGACCGCCGAGUUUGGAUCCAUCGGCAAAGACUAGUGAGACGACCCUGGAGGCUAGAGUGUUGAGCUCUUUUAUGGACUUGGACUUGAGGAAACUGAGCAUCCUUUUUUGGUUGGAACCCUUGGCCCCAGCAGCUAUCAGGCUAAGAACCACAUGAAUGGACAGCGGCGAGAACACAACGUUCUUGUCCUUAUUGCCUUUCUCAUUCAGAAGCAGUUGCUUUGUGAUUUCUAGUGCGACUUUGGUUUGGUCCUGAAUGGAUUUUCUGAGGGAUUCUGAUGCUUUGAAUGAAGGUCGUGGUUGAUAUGGGAAUCGUGCAGCCAUUGCUUCUGUGGAAAAUUUUAGAUAAACAUUACUACUUAAACCUAAAGAACACUCUUGGAGAGAAAUAUUAAACUAAACUACAUAAAACUCAUAAACCAAUACAUGCAACUCCUUAAAAUUCAUACUUUUUAAAAAAAAAAAAAAAACUAACCUUAAAUUACAUCGAAAAAACUUUUAGUAACUAAAUUACUGCUUCUNNNNNNNNNNNNNNNNNNNNNNNNNNNNNNNNNNNNNNNNNNNNNNNNNNNNNNNNNNNNNNNNNNNNNNNNNNNNNNNNNNNNNNNNNNNNNNNNNNNNNNNNNNNNNNNNNNNNNNNNNNNNNNNNNNNNNNNNNNNNNNNNNNNNNNNNNNNNNNNNNNNNNNNNNNNNNNNNNNNNNNNNNNNNNNNNNNNNNNNNNNNNNNNNNNNNNNNNNNNNNNNNNNNNNNNNNNNNNNNNNNNNNNNNNNNNNNNNNNNNNNNNNNNNNNNNNNNNNNNNNNNNNNNNNNNNNNNNNNNNNNNNNNNNNNNNNNNNNNNNNNNNNNNNNNNNNNNNNNNNNNNNNNNNNNNNNNNNNNNNNNNNNNNNNNNNNNNNNNNNNNNNNNNNNNNNNNNNNNNNNNNNNNNNNNNNNNNNNNNNNNNNNNNNNNNNNNNNNNNNNNNNNNNNNNNNNNNNNNNNNNNNNNNNNNNNNNNNNNNNNNNNNNNNNNNNNNNNNNNNNNNNNNNNNNNNNNNNNNNNNNNNNNNNNNNNNNNNNNNNNNNNNNNNNNNNNNNNNNNNNNNNNNNNNNNNNNNNNNNNNNNNNNNNNNNNNNNNNNNNNNNNNNNNNNNNNNNNNNNNAUAUAGGAUCCGGAUUUGCAACCAGCAAAGAUUGCUGGUUGGCAAAUCCGGAUCCCUAAUACUGGUAUAUAUAUUGAUUGUUUUGGUUCUAGAUUUCGUUUUAGGGUUUGUCAUUUUGGACAUGUGGGUGCAUGUAUACACCCCAACAUUUGGGCUAGUUUAGUUUUGCUGUGACUUUAAAAAGAAAUUGCUGUUGCUGUUUGGACUGCGAAAAUAAUCAACUGUGAAUUAAAACAGUUUUGUGUUUGACAAAUAUUAGUUUUAAAAGUGUUGCCAAGAUAAAAUUUAUUAAUUUCUAGUAUUUUAGUGACCUAUAAUUUUUUUUAAAAAAGGAUAGAAGCUGAUUUUUUUUAAAAGCGAAGCUAUACCAAACUAGGCCUUAAUCAAACUAAAAAGCUGUUAAUAUAAGGGUUUUUUUUAAUGAAAAAUGAUGAACAUUUUCAUUGAUAAACUCAUGUGUAAACCUUACAUUCCAUUGGUUAAUUAACUCUAUAUAUGUAAUAAAAUAGAACUAUAUCAAAUUUCAUACUAAACUAAAAGUCAGAAGUUCAUCAAUAUAUAUCCACAUAAGUUGUGGAAAUAUAAAACUUAUACAAGAAAUCCUAACCAAGGAUAUGGUGUUCUUGUCAAGCCUCCGAUGCACAAAGAACCCAUUAGCUUAUUGUUCACGGACUAGCCUAUUUUCUCUAAUGACCUUAGCUAGCUAGUCUAGAUAGGCAGUGAUGUUCACAUGGUCACCUAGUGACCAAAGAAAUCUUGAUAAAUCACCCUUAGAUGUAUUUACCAUGAUUAUGAUUUCAUUGGUUACUAGGUGACCAUAUGAACACUACUACUAGGCAGGAGGACAUGGAUUGCUUAUGUAUAUUUCCUUUUGGUCUUGCUUCCCCAUCAUUUGAAGCUCUUAAAGUCCCUUUUCUGAUGACUGAUCCAAACCUCAAAUGAUUAGUUCAUUAACAUAUAUAUUGGAUCAUCUAGAAUGCAAAGAAUUAAUACAUUUAUGGUUAUCCUUUGUCAUUUCUUCCUUUCAGGUGUGCUACGGUACAGCCGGGAGCGGAACGAGCUAUACUUUUUUACCACAAAGUACAGAAUCAAAGGAUCCCAAUGGGUAGCAACAGGCAAGACAGCGGAGGACAUAAGAGGGGCUAACGGUCAGAUAUUGGGUACCAAAAGGCUGUACCGGCAUAAGAACAACUACAAACGGUACAAAUGGUAUCUGGAUGUAUACCAAAUGCCAGAGCAUGACAUGACAAUGGUUAAGUUUUAUGAGAGCAGCCGAGGCGAACACUACAGUCCACCACCUAUGACGCAGGAACAAUUUCGGCAGUCUGUGGCCUACAUCGUUCGGGAUACUCUAAGUCGUUUGGGCUACAUUCCUAGAAGUUCAAUUUUUCCCUUAAAUGCGCCACCUCCAACUUCUAUGCCAUCUGGUACUAUAUGCAGUCAAUAUGCUCAUCCCUUUUUACCUAAGCAUUUUUUUUCUUAUGCUACACAUUUAGUUACCUUUUGUUUUGUUUAAAGAAUUUUCUUUCUUGAACAUUUAAUGAAAGUGAUGAUUGGCCCUGGUUCAGCAGCCAGUUCUGGAACUGGCUCAAUGAUUCCUACUCCUGGAAUCUCUCAACAAGCCCAAUCUGGGAUACAGUCACUUGGUGCAAACAGUAGUUCGGUAUCUAAUCCGUUGUCACAACAAGCGUCAAGUGCUCGGCAAUCUGCACAAUCCCAAUAUGCAAAAUUCUGGGAGGUGAGUCUAGUAUAUCCUCCGUUGGAAACAUUUUUCAUGUCAAGACAGCGGGGAGAUAUUUUUUUAUUUUUUUAAAAAAGUCUUGACUUCCAGGUACUCUCUAUUGUAUGUGAUUCUCACUUGUUAUUGGAUAUCCAAACACAUGCAGGGAAAUCUAUCUUUCCUGGGGCGGAGAAGUCAACCUGUGUCUAUUACUAGAUUGGAAGUAUGUAUCCAGAUGCCUCACGAAUUUCCCUUUUACAGUAACUUCUGUUUCAAUUUACCUUUUAUACUUGCAUACUAAUAUGCUAUAAGGUUUUCAAUUCGCCCCUACCCCUACCCUCCCCCGGUUAAUAACUAAUAAGUUUUCACAUACUAGUUAUGAACAUACUAAAUUACUAAUACUAGUAUGUUCAUACUUUCAACUUGUGUAUGGAAAUUUAAUUUCCAGAUACACCCAGAUGUCUUAUGGUUAAUUGCUUUUCAGCGCUUAUAUAUCUGCAAGUUUUUUCAUUCCAUAAGUAAAGAUAUAUAUCACCGACCAUCUGCUGGUCAUUAUAUUCACAGAGGCUUUCUCUAAUUGUUUGUCAGGGAUACAGAAGGGCAUCAGCAUCUGAGACGUAUGUCUGCAGAGCUCUCUACUUUCUUCUAAAUACACUAGCUGGCAUAUAGUUGAUGCUUCAUCGUUCAAAGUUGCUCUCUUUAACAUUUUUUCCAUUUAGGAAACAAGGUUUUAGUUUUUCACAGCUCAAAGAAUAUGUUGUUUACUGAGUUUAUACUUCAUUUUUGGCACCUAUUUUAGAAAGCUAUUGGAUGAAAUGGUGAAUGUGUUUUAAGUAACCUCCACUGUUAGAGUUCUGAUUCUAUGCAAUAUAUAUAGUAUGCUGGCCCUAUAUUGAAUGUCCUUAAUUAUGGGAAAGUGCUAUAUCCAUAACAUAUUUAGGGCAUCUUAGCUAUAUUUUGGUUGACAAAUGUCUUGUGCAUUGCUCAGGCUUGCAGCAAACUGGCCACCGACAUUGCAAAUAGUCAGGCUCAUACCUCAGGAACCCCUGAAUAACAGGUAGUUUUUCAUUUAGUAAAAACCUUCCCUCUUUUAUUAUAUAUAUAUAUAUAUCAUCCAGUUGAAAUGUCUGUCUCUGAGUUUCCCUGAUUAUCCAGAGUUAUUACAUUAUUUCAGGCGAUUGUUGAGACGGGUAGACAAACUAGUAUUUUGGUAUAAUGGAUCAGCACGAAUUUCUUCGGCAGUUGCAAGAAAAAAAGACUUGUAAUCUCUCUCACUCUCUCUCUCUCUCUCUGAUAGUUCCUUCUAUUACCCCAGUGAACAUAUUCCAACAUGAGUCUUCAUGAAACCUUUGAGCUUUUCAUUACAUCUUGGACCUUUCUUUUUUUACCUGUCCCCCCCCCCCCCUCCUUUUCAUUCCUGUUGUGGUUUUUGGGUUCUGGUGCUCAUUUAUUUGCAGCUUCAGGUCAAACCUAGUCAAUGCAUUCUAUAUUAUUUGAUUAGUUGUUUUUUGUUUUGAAAGGAUUAGUCUAUUUCUAUGAAAAUAAGAAACUAAUUAAGGAUCAUUUUUUUUAAUAUACAAAUUGUCCUGAAGCUGGUUUCCACUUUUUCAGUGUGCUGUUAUCAAAUUGCCGUCUCAGACACUAAUGCUAUCUGUUGCGGAAAAACCUUUCUGCUUGGUCGGAAUACUGUACCCAUGGGUAAGAUUGUUCUGUACUUAUGCCAGUUUAUUGCUGCUUUAUUCAAAGUAAAAUUUUAAUUUCCACCACCCUGAGCUCGUAGAGAUCCCCAACAUAGAUGUAAGCUGGGCACCUUCAAUAUCAAAAGCAACCUGCAAAAUGAAUAGUAAGCCUGUACUUGCGGGAAGAUUUUGUAGGCAUCUUCUAAUUGCCUGUGUAAGUUGCUUUGGAUGCUGAAGGUUCCAUGCAUAAAAUGCAAUUUUUAUUUGUAUUUUGUUCCACUUUAAAUGGGGAGGCCUAUGGGGUUCUCCAGAAUGAGGUUGUGGCACGGCAUUGUGACUUCGUCGUAAUUUCUUACUAAAGCCAAGUCUACCAUCGGUUCAGGAUUUGGUUAAGUUAGAGCCAGGUGAAGUUCUGAUGCCUCAACAUGUGCAACCACAGCUAAUAACAACAGCAGCCUCAGCUUCAACAAAUGCAGCAACAGCAGCCUCAGCUACCAUAGAUGCAGCAACAGCAACCGCAGCUACAGCAGCAACAAUUGCAACCACAGCUCCAGCAACACAGCUUCAGCAACAACAGCAACCACAACAAGGGUCUAAUAUGCCCGGAGGAUGCUUUAUGGGUUAGCAACAGUGUUGCUUGUUAGAAGUAGUAGUAGUAGACUGGCAUAAAACUUUAUCUAUCAAGUUCAGCAAACAUGCGCGCUGGUGUACAGUGCCUUGAGAACCUUUAAAGAAGACCAUGAUUCUAUAUGAUUUAUGCACAAACCAAGUGUUGACUACUACUGUAACAUCAACAUGUAAUAUUGUCCCAUGAAUCCAGCUAUGAUAAAGACUUUAACUCAUCUGGUGACAUGUUCAGUAUUGUUGAAGGCUCCAACUCUCCACUUAGCAGACGGUGGGAUAGCACUGCAUUGAGUGCUUGAUGCUCGUAUGUUGCUGUGCUUCCUUUGUGCCUGAAAUGCUUGUACAUUUAACUCUGUCAUGUUGUACGUUUAGGUUCUGGAAGGGUAGAGUCAUUGGCGAGGUCACCAUGACUAACAUAAUGAGUUAAUAUUACAAGGAGAUAUUAUUCAUUAUUGUAAGCACAAGAAUUUGGUGAAUUUGAUAAAUUGCAACAUAUUUCGAACGAUAAAAUAACAUUGUUCAAAUGACUUCUACAUGUUCGACAAAAAUCUGCAAGCACACUAGUCAACGGACUUGAUAUUAUUCAUUUCAACUCAAUCAACCUACAUAAUUAAAGGCUUCAUAGAACAAUUUCUUAACACAACAAAGAAAGGCUUCAUAGAAGAAGUUCUUAACACAACAAACAAAGGCUUCAUAGAAGAGGUUCUUAACUGAACCAUUAAAAACUAAGCAGCAUGAACCGGAAAUUGUCCAUGAAAGAAAAGAAAUUUAAACCAUUCCACAGGUACAGCUGAGAAAUUUCUUGUGCUAACAAUGUUCAAUACCACAAACAAGAAUAUGAUUCCCCAGCAGAUGGUUUCUUCUA
rnacentral:lncRNA from 1 species